rnacentral:rRNA from 1 species
CCUACGGGUGGCUGCAGUGGGGAAUUUUGGACAAUGGGGGCAACCCUGAUCCAGCCAUGCCGCGUGCGGGAAGAAGGCCUUCGGGUUGUAAACCGCUUUUGUCAGGAGAGAAAUCUCUUGGGCUAAUACCCUGAGAGGAUGACGGUACCUGAAGAAUAAGCACCGGCUAACUACGUGCCAGCAGCCGCGGUAAUACGUAGGGUGCAAGCUGUAAUCGGAAUUACUGGAGGUAAUUGUGCAGGAGACGGGUGGAAUCCCCGGGCGUAACCUGGGAACUGCACUUGUGACUGCACGGCUAGAGUACGGCAGAGGGGGAUGGAAUUCCGCGUGUAGCAGUGAAAUGCGUAGAUAUGCGGAGGAACACCGAUGGCGAAGGCAGUCCCCUGGGCCUGUACUGACGCUCAUGCACGAAAGCGUGGGGAGCAAACAGGAUUAGAUACCCUAGUAGUC